rnacentral:rRNA from 1 species
UACAGAGGUCUCAAGCGUUGUUCGGAUUCAUUGGGCGUAAAGGGUGCGUAGGCGGCGCGGUAAGUCGGGUGUGAAAUCUUGGAGCUUAACUCCGAAACUGCAUUCGAUACUGCCGUGCUUGAGGACUGGAGAGGAGACUGGAAUUUACGGUGUAGCGGUGAAAUGCGUAGAUAUCGUAAGGAAGACCAGUGGCGAAGGCGGGUCUCGUGGACAGUUCCUGACGCUGAGGCACGAAGGCCAGGGGAGCAAAACGGG